AACGAACGCUGGCGGCAGGCUUAACACAUGCAAGUCGAGCGCCCCGCAAGGGGAGCGGCCGACGGGUGAGUAACGCGUGGGAACGUACCUUUUGGUUCGGAACAACUCCGGGACACUGGAGCUAAUACCGGAUAAGCCCUAACGGGGAAAGAUUUAUCGCCGAAAGAUCGGCCCGCGUCUGAUUAGCUAGUUGGUGAGGUAACGGCUCACCAAGGCGACGAUCAGUAGCUGGUCUGAGAGGAUGAUCAGCCACACUGGGACUGAGACACGGCCCAGACUCCUACGGGAGGCAGCAGUGGGGAAUAUUGGACAAUGGGCGCAAGCCUGAUCCAGCCAUGCCGCGUGAGUGAUGAAGGCCUUAGGGUUGUAAAGCUCUUUUGUCCGGGAAGAUAAUGACUGUACCGGAAGAAUAAGCCCCGGCUAACUUCGUG
rnacentral:rRNA from 1 species